GAGAGAGGGAGAGAGGGGGGGGAGGGGGAGAGAGAGAUACAUUGUGAUAUUUUGGAUUAUACUUUUACAUAUCUUUUAUUAUUUUCAGGAGAGUAAAUUUCAAGAGUGUGGCUGAAGUUUACAUCGAUUUGUAAGUUUGUGGCCGAACUUUAAAAAUUACAAAAGUGUGGCUGGAGUUCGCCUCCGCUUUUUAAAACUUUGGCUCCCGUCAAAUGUCCUCUAACGGAGCUAACGGAGUUGAGGGUAUUUUUGGAUUAUUUGAAAUUCUUUUCUUUUCUCCUUUUUUUUUUCUCACACGCUCUGCUGCUGUCCUCUCCAUUCUCCUCUCUUUCUUUUUUUCUCUCUCUCCACACCACACCGUCCUCUACCUCUUCAUCCUCUCAUAUCUUACUCGGAUUCUCCUUGUCCUGGAGACUCGAGCACCAAUGGUCGGGAGGCUCUUGAUUAUUGAUAGCAGCGUUGGAAUGACUAAAGGAGAUUUGGUGAAUAGUUUAUGGAAGCAUUGCAGGCUGGGGCUGAUGUGAGCAUGAUUGGGCAAUUCGGUGUGAGAUUUUACUCAAUUCGGUGUGGGAUUUUACUCUGCUUAUCUGGUGGUGGAGAAGGUGAUUGUGACCACCAAAUAUAAUGGUGAUGAGCAGUAUAUUUGGGAGUCGCAGGGCGGUGGUUCAUUUGCUGGUGGUUCGUCUUUCUCAAGGAUGAUUAAGGAACCCUAGCUCCUCAGUUUCUUCCCCCUUUUCCCCAAACAAUUUUAUUUAUAUAUUUUUACGUAUCUACCCCUUUAUUUUUUUAA